rnacentral:rRNA from 1 species
CCUACGGGAGACAGCAGUGGGGAAUAUUGCACAAUGGGGGAAACCCUGAUGCAGCGACGCCGCGUGAGUGAAGAAGUAUUUCGGUACGUAAAGCUCUAUCAGCAGGGAAGAAAAUGACGGUACCUGACUAAGAAGCCCAGGCUAACUACGUGCCAGCAGCCGCGGUAAUACGUAGGGGGCAAGCGUUAUCCGGAUUUACUGGGUGUAAAGGGAGCGUAGACGGCAGCGCAAGUCUGGAGUGAAAUCCCAUGGCUUAACCAUGGAACUGCUUUGGAAACUGUGCAGCUAGAGUGCAGGAGAGGUAAGCGGAAUUCCUAGUGUAGCGGUGAAAUGCGUAGAUAUUAGGAGGAACACCAGUGGCGAAGGCGGCUUACUGGACUGUAACUGACGUUGAGGCUCGAAAGCGUGGGGAGCAAACAGGAUUAGAUACCCGAGUAGUC